AGGGCCAUCCUUGAAAAAGUAUUACCACUUUCAUGGAGGGGCGCUAUUACUCGUAGGGAUCAUGCAACUAGUUAGAAAAUAGGAGGAAAUCAGGUUCUGUUCAAGGAAACGGAUGAUAGGUCUAAUUCCCUGGAUCAAGAUCCCCAUUGUAAGAAGUGUAAAUAAGAAGAGUUGCACCUUGAGCGUAGUUACAGCGCAGCUUUCACUUACAGCAUCAGGACUAUAUAACCAGACACGAACAACCUAAACCACAGUUCUUCAUCACUUUUCACAGAGUCAACAUGGUGGCCUUCAAGCGUGUACAGUAUUAUAAAGUGAGUGCCCAAAGAACAAAUUCACAUCUUGACCCAACAUGACCUCCAAGAAAGUGAACACUGCAUCCACUGCCAAUCCUUUACCUAAUUUCUUAAUGUUGGUAUGCUACUGUCACUCCCUCUGCAAUGACUGUUUAUAUCACUUGAGUUAUUGAAAGUCUUUAUGCACAGUUUGCCUCGUGACAUUAUCAAUGAAAGAGUUCACUUCAACAGUGUAACCUAGUUUCAGAUAUCUCACUUAUGUAACUCAAUCUUUGUCUGCUUAGGUUCAUUCUAUCACAAAACAGACUUGUAGGUAACAUUAGGAAGUGUUAUAGGAUUAGUAAGACACGUGUGACUAUUUAUUAUAAAGUUUCAAAUGUUACUUUGUUAAGUUUAGUUUGUUUUUCAGGAACAAAAUCUUUUGUAAUAAAAUAUAAAAAUGAAA